rnacentral:rRNA from 3 species
UUUAACUGAAGAGUUUGAUCAUGGCUCAGAUUGAACGCUGGCGGCAGGCUUAACACAUGCA